rnacentral:rRNA from 1 species
AUUGAACGCUGGCGGCAUGCCUUACACAUGCAAGUCGAACGGCAGCACGGGUGCUUGCACCUGGUGGCGAGUGGCGAACGGGUGAGUAAUACAUCGGAACGUACCUUAUCGUGGGGGAUAACGCAGCGAAAGCUGUGCUAAUACCGCAUACGCCCUGAGGGGGAAAGCGGGGGAUCGAAAGACCUCGCGCGAUUAGAGCGGCCGAUGCCUGAUUAGCUUGUUGGUGGGGUAAAAGCCCACCAAGGCGACGAUCAGUAGCUGGUCUGAGAGGACGAUCAGCCACACUGGGACGUAGACACGGCCCAGACUCCUACGGGAGGCAGCAGUGGGGAAUUUUGGACAAUGGGGGCAACCCUGAUCCAGCAAUGCCGCGUGAGUGAAGAAGGCCUUCGGGUUGUAAAGCUCUUUUGUCAGGGAAGAGACACCGGCUCUAACACAGUCCGGGAAUGACGGUACCUGAAGAAUAAGCACCGGCUAACUACGUGCCAGCAGCCGCCGCCG